rnacentral:rRNA from 1 species
GACGAACGCUGGCGGCGUGCUUAACACAUGCAAGUCGAACGAAAAGAGGGAAAGAGCUUGCUCUUUCCGGAAUUGAGUGGCAAACGGGUGAGUAACACGUAAACAACCUGCCUCAGGAUGGGGACAACAGACGGAAACGACUGCUAAUACCGAAUAAGUUCCAAGGGCCGCAUGGCCCAUGGAAGAAAAGGUGGCCUCUACCUGUAAGCUAUCGCCUGAAGAGGGGUUUGCGUCUGAUUAGCUGGUUGGAGGGGUAACGGCCCACCAAGGCGACGAUCAGUAGCCGGUCUGAGAGGAUGAACGGCCACACUGGAAUUGAGACACGGUCCAGACUCCUACGGGAGGCAGCAGUGGGGAAUCUUCCGCAAUGGGCGAAAGCCUGACGGAGCAACGCCGCGUGAGUGAUGACGGCCUUCGGGUUGUAAAACUCUGUGAUCCGGGACGAAAAGGCAGAGUGCGAAGAACAAACUGCAUUGACGGUACCGGAAAAGCAAGCCACGGCUAACUACGUG